AUUGAACGCUGGCGGUAUGCUUAACACAUGCAAGUCGAACGGCAGCAUGGUCUAGCUUGCUAGACUGAUGGCGAGUGGCAGACGGGUGAGUAACGCGUAGGAAUAUGCCUUGAAGAGUGGGACAACUUGGGGAAACUCAAGCUAAUACCGCAUGUACUCGAGAGAGUAAAGCUGGGGACCUUUAGGCCUGGCGCUUUAAGAUUAGCCUGCGUCCGAUUAGCUAGUUGGUGGGGUAAAGGCCUACCAAGGCGACGAUCGGUAGCUGGUCUGAGAGGAUGAUCAGCCACAGUGGAACUGAGAGACGGUCCAGACUCCUACGGGAGGCAGCAGUGGGGAAUAUUGGACAAUGGGGGGAACCCUGAUCCAGCAAUGCCGCGUGUGUGAAGAAGGCCUGAGGGUUGUAAAGCACUUUCAGUGGGGAGGAGGUUUGGAAGGUUAAGAGCUAUUCAAAUGGACGUUACCCACAGAAGAAGCACCGGCUAACUCCGUGCCAGCAGCCGCCGUAA
rnacentral:rRNA from 1 species